rnacentral:rRNA from 1 species
AUUGAACGCUGGCGGCAGGCCUAACACAUGCAAGUCGAACGGCAGCACAGAAGAGCUUGCUCUUUGGGUGGCGAGUGGCGGACGGGUGAGUAAUGUCUGGGAAACUGCCCGAUGGAGGGGGAUAACUACUGGAAACGGUAGCUAAUACCGCAUAACGUCGCAAGACCAAAGUGGGGGACCUUCGGGCCUCACACCAUCGGAUGUGCCCAGAUGGGAUUAGCUAGUAGGUGGGGUAAUGGCUCACCUAGGCGACGAUCCCUAGCUGGUCUGAGAGGAUAAACAGCCACACUGGAACUGAGACACGGUCCAGACUCCUACGGGAGGGAGCAGUGGGGAAUAUUGCACAAUGGGCGCAAGCCUGAUGCAGCCAUGCCGCGUGUAUGAAGAAGGCCUUCGGGUUGUAGAGUACUUUCAGCGGGGAGGAAGGCGGUGAGGUUAAUAACCUUGCCGAUUGACGUUACCCGCAGAAGAAGCACCGGCUAACUCCGUGCCAGCCGCCGCCGUAA